UGGGGAAUAUUGCACAAUGGGCGCAAGCCUGAUGCAGCCAUGCCGCGUGUAUGAAGAAGGCCUUCGGGUUGUAAAGUACUUUCAGCGGGGAGGAAGGGAGUAAAGUUAAUACCUUUGCUCAUUGACGUUACCCGCAGAAGAAGCACCGGCUAACUACGUGCCAGCAGCCGCGGUAAUACGUAGGGGGCAAGCGUUGUCCGGAAUCACUGGGCGUAAAGGGUUCGCAGGCGGAAAUGCAAGUCAGUUGUGAAAGGCAGAGGCUCAACCUCUGUAAGCAAUUGAAACUGUAUUUCUUGAGAUGUGGAGAGGCAAGUGGAAUUCCUAGUGUAGCGGUGAAAUGCGUAGAUAUUAGGAAGAAUACCGGUGGCGAAGGCGACUUGCUGGACACAAACUGACGCUGAGGAACGAAAGCGUGGGUAGCAAACAGG
rnacentral:rRNA from 1 species